rnacentral:lncRNA from 1 species
UCCUUGUGGACACUCGCUGUUCAGAGUCGAGAGGGGUCUCCCAGGCGUGCCGCCCGCAGUGAUUCUUUGCAAGCCUCAAAGUGCAGAGGAGCAGCGUGGGAAAACGGCUCAUUGCAGAUCCAAAGAGGUGCCGACGCUACAGGUCCUAAGGAGCGCUGCCUAUGACAGGGUUCUGCCUAAAGGGUUCAGGUCAAAGAUUCACCUCUUCAAUCAAUCUGUGUGUCUGCUACCUGGGACCAUGGAUGUCAUUGGCCCACGUGUGCUAGGAUUUCCAGCGUGUGUCGCAGUUUUGUAUGCGUUUAAUGCCUUUGAUCAGCUCACCGCCGAGAAGUCACGCAAAGUGAGCGGCCCCGUGCAGCUGUCGUUUGUGUCCUCGCUGAGCCUCAGAGAGUCCCAAGCCCUGCUUUUGUCUUACAUGUGUCUGGAAGAGUCCUUUGUGCCCUCGGAGGCAAAUUUCAUCAGUUGGGAAGUGAAAUCUCAUUCUGUUCUCACAGAACUCAGAAAGCUUGUAGCAGCAAACCCGACCGUGCACUCUGGGCUGGGCGGUUUGAAGCUCUCCCUCGGUGAGAAGAUAAUGCGAGCAGACCUGAAAGAUGAAAUUUUACGCAUCACAGACCGAUUAGCCCACAGCGAGGCGAGUGUGGAGGACUCUGACGUGGAGGAAUGCGAGGACAGAGGUGAAGAAGGCAGCGUCGCGAGCAGGGAGGAUGAGUGGGACGGGAAUGAAAGAGAGGACUCUGGCGAGAGAGAGAAGCAAAGGGAAAGGGGCUUUGAGGGUAAUCACCAUCCCAAACAUUACCAAAACCACCACCAAAACUCUAGCGAGGAACAUGAGGACACAGAGGGCGACGACAGGGCUUUGUCAAACCUAUCCAGACUCAUCCGUGCCUCUCCGGGGGUCGGUCAGAGAACGGGACAUUCGGUCCUGUUUGGGCGCGGAAGGGGCGGCGAUGCAAGUUUUAAGUGGAUCACAAUCGGGAUACGGACGCUGGGCCUGCUCAACUUGAAAAUACUGAGGGCUUGCGGCCUGUUCGACACGAAGCACGGGUGCGCCAGAGCCGUCUUGAAGAUACCAAACACCAACGGGGUUCAGCCAGAGCCCCGCUGGCUAGGAAAACCCACGUUGCUCACGGACGACUUGUGCGUCAUCGUGCCGGGUCGAGGAUCCCAGGAUGCCCUGCUGCCGUGGCAUCGCGACGGCUGCUUCUUUCAACUCAAUUACUCUCCCGAGUCUUCUGAAACAAAGGGGACCGGCCACUGCGGCUCCCGCCUAG